AUUGAACGCUGGCGGCAUGCCUUACACAUGCAAGUCGAACGGCAGCACGGGAGCAAUCCUGGUGGCGAGUGGCGAACGGGUGAGUAAUACAUCGGAACGUGCCCAAUCGUGGGGGAUAACGCAGCGAAAGCUGUGCUAAUACCGCAUACGAUCUACGGAUGAAAGCAGGGGACCGCAAGGCCUUGCGCGAAUGGAGCGGCCGAUGGCAGAUUAGGUAGUUGGUGGGGUAAAGGCUCACCAAGCCAACGAUCUGUAGCUGGUCUGAGAGGACGACCAGCCACACUGGAACUGAGACACGGCCCAGACUCCUACGGGAGGCAGCAGUGGGGAAUUUUGGACAAUGGGCGCAAGCCUGAUCCAGCCAUGCCGCGUGAAGGAUGAAGGCCUUCGGGUUGUAAACUGCCUUUGUACGGAAAGAAACGGCCUUUACUAAUAAAGAGGGCUAAUGACGGUACCGUAAGAAUAAGCACCGGCUAACUACGUG
rnacentral:rRNA from 1 species